rnacentral:rRNA from 1 species
AUUGAACGCUGGCGGCAGGCUUAACACAUGCAAGUCGAGCGGGGUGAUGGUGCUUGCGCUAUCACUUAGCGGCGGACGGGUGAGUAAUGCUUAGGAAUCUGCCUAUUAGUGGGGGACAACAUCUCGAAAGGGAUGCUAAUACCGCAUACGUCCUACGGGAGAAAGCAGGGGAUCACUUGUGACCUUGCGCUAAUAGAUGAGCCUAAGUCGGAUUAGCUAGUUGGUGGGGUAAAGGCCUACCAAGGCGACGAUUUGUAGCGGGUCUGAGAGGAUGAUCCGCCACACUGGGACUGAGACACGGCCCAGACUCCUACGGGAGGCAGCAGUGGGGAAUAUUGGACAAUGGGGGGAACCCUGAUCCAGCCAUGCCGCGUGUGUGAAGAAGGCCUUAUGGUUGUAAAGCACUUUAAGCGAGGAGGAGGCUCUUUUGGUUAAUACCCAAGAUGAGUGGACGUUACUCGCAGAAUAAGCACCGGCUAACUCUGUGCCAGCAGCCGCCGUAA